UUUUCCAUUUUUAAAAUUUUAAUUUAAAUAUUUAUAUUUUAGGAAAAGUAUAUUUGAAUAAAAUCGAUGCAUUUUCUGAAGUAAAUUGAAAGGUGUUAUUAGCAAGAAAUAGAAAGAUUUUACUAAGGGAGUUAUGUAUAUGAAUGAUUUUUUUCCUCCUAAUUAAAGUAUAUCAUAUCAGAGUGGCUAUGAUGAGUCAAUUUCACUGUUGUUUCUCAGCUUGAAUUUUAAACAUCAUUUUAAAUAAUGACUUUAGAGUGUAUUUUUUUUUAUUUUGUCUUAGGCGUUAGUGGAUGAUACAAAGUAAGUCAGGUUCAUGUCCUGGUCAGUGCAUCAACCUAGUCAUUUGGGAGAGAUUGUUUGUUUGGGUUUUUUUUUUUUUUUCUGAUUUGCUUUGUUCUUAUUUCUGUGACGUAUGGAACCCAUAAUACUUGUUCCUAAAUGAAAACCAGGACAGAUGAACUAUCUUUACUUGGUAGAUUCUUCCUCAGUUGCCCGAGCCUGGAUUCAUUAGUCUGGUAAUUUGCCCAUGCUUCUCAUCUUAUGGCCAUUUCAAGAAGGCAAGAGGGAUAGAGAUUAUGUCAUCUCUUUCUAACAUAAGCUAAAUAAUACAAAAUCAAACUAUAUAAUUAUUAUGAACUACCCAGACCAAGGUAUUUAAUGAAUGGCAUCAAUGAAGUAUGGAAAUAAUUUUUGGGUGUAUCUUGAGUGUUUUUUUUUUCUAAAUCUGCCUGUGUUAUAGCCCCUAUGAAUGUCAUGUACAAUUGAUAUAUAAACUGAAUAAAUAUUUGUCUCAGAUCUCC
rnacentral:lncRNA from 1 species